rnacentral:lncRNA from 1 species
CCCCCCCCCGCCCCCGCCCCGGGAGGGUAUGCGGGUGCCCUCGUCCAGGAGCGUCCUACCGGCUCCCCCGGCUUUGGGCCGAGAGCAACCUGAGCUCUCUGAACUAAAGCUCCCACAUGGGCUCUGUACAGCAAAUGGAUAUGACUAAGGUUAAAUCUCAGGACUCCUCAGUCUACCUCAAGCCAUUCCUGAUUUACCUGGGGACGGUGGCACACGAAUGCUGUCUGUUCACCCUGUCUCACUCUGGAGCCCUUCCUGCGCACACAGCUCAGAACUAAUAGGCACCGAAGGCACUAACUGCUGAAUGAGGCAUUGGUCCGACCCUGAGACAACAGGGCACAGCAAGGCCUUGAGCUCGGAAGAGACUGGAGCCACCUGAUUGUAAGAGUGUCUGGAUGAAAGAACCCAUUGCUAACGUUGAACACCCCUUCCUACGGACUGGAAUAGACAACUAGGCGAAUCUUAAAGGUGAACUCCCCAACAGCAGAGAACUGCUAAAUCUGGGUUGAAAAGAUGAACUAUCCUGUGGCCGUGAUUUGAACUGUGAGAGUGAAAUGUAACCACCCACAUGAAGCCAAGGCUGUGAAACCCUAUGAAAGGAGGAGUUGUGACCCAGUGCGUCGUCGAUCCAGGCACGGCUUAUGUGCGACUGACCCUUAUUGACGAGUAAAUUCGUUAUUUUACUUCCAUUCUGCUGUCUCUGUGCAUCACUCACUGAUUCCUUCCAUAACAUGUGUACAUGUGUGUGUCCAUGGCUCUGUAUGCACAGUACCUAUCUAUUUUAUUGAACUUAUUUGCUUUUCUUGUUUUCCCCCUUUUUCUGUUUCUGAUAGACUGAGUUUUAAUUUGAUAAUUUUAAAAGUAAUAUUCCUAAUGGUCAUAAUAAUACAUUUAAAACUCACAUGCACCCUUAUUUACCAGUACUAAUUUUCUAAAUGCACAAGGAUCUGUAUAUAAUUUCCCUAUAGCAUGACAGAUAUGUAAGCACAGUUCUUCCUUGGUUCCCUGUAAUUUUGAUACUAUUUUAAUUCUGGGUCGAUACAGAACUCAUUAAAAACAAAUUUAUCAAAGAUAUAUGUGAAAAAUUGUUAUGCAAUUACAAAUAAUUCAGAUACGAUUUCAAUAGAACGCAUAAUAGAAAAUAAAUAUUCCCAGCAAUAAUAUGUUCUUUCAAUAAUCCUCGGUAUUUUGAUAGUCCCUAUAUGACAAUUUUGCAUUAUUGAAUCAGGAUUGAAAUUAUUUUACCUGGUGGUAUUGGAGAAGGAAGAGUAAGUGAUGUUCUUGUUAUCCAGAUCUGUUUAAAUGUCACCACUGCAGACAUGCUUUUCCUGGUCAUCUGGCCAACUUUGUUACUUUAUGUCACAUUGCUGUAUUUUUGUGAUGUCCAUAGCAUUUAUCACUGGUUAAAUUUUUCACUUUUCUCAGUUUUUAUAACCUGUUAUGAGAACAAGGUUGAGGGCACAAUCCCUGCAUGAUCAGGAAGAACAGUAUAAUUUGGUCAUCAGCACAUGUUGAGGGAAAUAUGUAUAUGAAUUUGCUAACUUUCAAUAGAUGGGUGAAGAUGAAAUUACACUACUGGCUUGAAUAAAUAUUUUAUUAUUUUGUAACUAUUUUCAUGAUAACUAUUUCUAAUUUUUUUCUCUUUCUACUUUUGUUUCUUCUUCCAAAGACAAAUAAAGC